rnacentral:tRNA from 1 species
GGAAGGGUCGCAUAGUGGCCUAGUGCGUCUGCUUGGAGAGCAGAUAGGCUUUCACGAGCCUCGGGAGUUCGAAUCUCCCCCCUUCCG